AUGUUUCCCGAGAACGGAUCACGGGGUUUAUUGGCUACAUCAACACCUAAGAAACAAGAGAAGAAUAAAUUUGGUGAAAUGGGGCUAGCAACUAAAGAGAUGAUUGACCCAAUAGUCGCCUACAGCCGGCCUCCACCACUUCCUCCUGUUAUAGGACCCUUGGUUGCUCUCUCAUUGUUGGAUACAUGGUGGAACCGCAAAGCUGAUGAUGACGGCUAG